rnacentral:rRNA from 1 species
UGGGGAAUUUUGGACAAUGGGGGAAACCCGUCGAUCCAGCCAUCCCCGUCGUGCGCGAUGAAGGCCUUCGGGUUGUAAAGCACUUUUGGCAGGAAAGAAACGUCGCGGGUUAAUACCCCGCGAAACUGACGGUACCUGCAGAAUAAGCACCGGCUAACUACGUGCCAGCAGCCGCGGUAAUACGUAGGGUGCAAGCGUUAAUCGGAAUUACUGGGCGUAAAGCGUGCGCAGGCGGUUCGGAAAGAAAGAUGUGAAAUCCCAGAGCUUAACUUUGGAACUGCAUUUUUAAACUACCGGGCUAGAGUGUGUCAGAGGGAGGUGGAAUUCCGCGUGUAGCAGUGAAAUGCGUAGAUAUGCGGAGGAACACCGAUGGCGAAGGCAGCCUCCUGGGAUAACACUGACGCUCAUGCACGAAAGCGUGGGGAGCAAACAGGAUUAGAUACCCUGGUAGUCCACGCCCUAAAACGAUGUCAACUAGCUGUUGGGGCCUUCGGGCCUUGGUAGCGCAGCUAACGCGUGAAGUUGACCGCCUGGGGGAGUACGGUCGCAAGAUUAAAACUCAAAUGAAUUGACGGGGUCAUAGCUGUUUCCUG